AGAGUUUGAUCCUGGCUCAGGAUGAACGCUAGCUACAGGCUUAACACAUGCAAGUCGAGGGGCAGCGGGAAGAAAGCUUGCUUUCUUUGCCGGCGACCGGCGCACGGGUGAGUAACGCGUAUCCAACCUUCCCCUUAGUAGGGCAUAGCCCGGCGAAAGUCGGAUUAAUACCCUAUGUUAUUCGUAGAGGACAUCUGAAAUGAAUCAAAGAUUUAUCGCUAAGGGAUGGGGAUGCGUCUGAUUAGGUAGUCGGCGGGGUAACGGCCCACCGAGCCUACGAUCAGUAGGGGUUCUGAGAGGAAGGUCCCCCACAUUGGAACUGAGACACGGUCCAAACUCCUACGGGAGGCAGCAGUGAGGAAUAUUGGUCAAUGGACGAGAGUCUGAACCAGCCAAGUAGCGUGCAGGAUGACGGCCCUAUGGGUUGUAAACUGCUUUUAUACGGGGAUAAAGUGAGGGACGUGUCCCUUUUUGUAGGUACCGUAUGAAUAAGGACCGGCUAAUUCCGUGCCAGCAGCCGCGGUAAUACGGAAGGUCCGGAUUUAUUGGGUUUAAAGGGAGCGCAGGCUGAUUGUUAAGCGUGACGUGAAAUGUAGCCGCUCAACGGCUGAACUGCGUCGCGAACUGGCAGUCUUGAGUGAGUACGACGUCAGCGGAAUUCGUGGUGUAGCGGUGAAAUGCUUAGAUAUCACGAAGAACCCCGAUUGCGAAGGCAGCUGACGAGUCCUUUACUGACGCUAAAGCUCGAAGGUGCGGGUAUCGAACAGGAUUAGAUACCCUGGUAGUCCGCACGGUAAACGAUGGAUGCCCGCUGUUGGCGAUACAGUGUCAGCGGCCAAGCGAAAGCGUUAAGCAUCCCACCUGGGGAGUACGCCGGCAACGGUGAAACUCAAAGGAAUUGACGGGGGCCCGCACAAGCGGAGGAACAUGUGGUUUAAUUCGAUGAUACGCGAGGAACCUUACCCGGGCUUGAACUGCAGCAGAACGAUCCAGAGAUGGUGAGGCCCUUCGGGGCUGCUGUGGAGGUGCUGCAUGGUUGUCGUCAGCUCGUGCCGUGAGGUGUCGGCUUAAGUGCCAUAACGAGCGCAACCCUUUCCGUUAGUUGCCAUCAGGUCAUGCUGGGCACUCUGGCGGUACUGCCACCGUAAGGUGUGAGGAAGGUGGGGAUGACGUCAAAUCAGCACGGCCCUUACGUCCGGGGCUACACACGUGUUACAAUGGGUGGUACAGAGAGUUGAGUGCCGGCAACGUCACUCCAAUCCUUAAAGCCAUCCUCAGUUCGGAUUGGGGUCUGCAACCCGACCCCAUGAAGCUGGAUUCGCUAGUAAUCGCGCAUCAGCCAUGGCGCGGUGAAUACGUUCCCGGGCCUUGUACACACCGCCCGUCAAGCCAUGAAAGCCGGGGGCGCCUGAAGUCCGUGACCGCGAGGGUCGGCCUAGGGUGAAACCGGUGAUUGGGGCUAAGUCGUAACAAGGUAGCC
rnacentral:rRNA from 1 species